UACGAAGGGGGCUAGCGUUGUUCGGAAUUACUGGGCGUAAAGCGCACGUAGGCGGAUAUUUAAGUCGGGGGUGAAAUCCCGGGGCUCAACCCCGGAACUGCCUUCGAUACUGGGUAUCUUGAGUUCGGAAGAGGUGAGUGGAAUUGCGAGUGUAGAGGUGAAAUUCGUAGAUAUUCGCAAGAACACCAGUGGCGAAGGCGGCUCACUGGCCCAUUACUGACGCUGAGGCACGAAAGCGUGGGGAGCAAACAGG
rnacentral:rRNA from 1 species